rnacentral:rRNA from 1 species
AACAAACGCUGGCGGCGUGCCUAAUACAUGCAAGUCGAACGGGGUAGCAAUACCUAGUGGCGCACGGGUGAGUAAUACAUGGGUAAUCUGCCUCAAAGUUGGGGAUAACCUUCCGAGAGGAAGGCUAAUACCGAAUAAGACCACAUGAUCUGCGGAUCAAGAGGUCAAAGGUUUUUCGCUUUGAGAUGAGCCCAUGCGGGAUUAGCUAGUUGGUGAGGUAAUGGCUCACCAAGGCCACGAUCCCUAGCUGGUCUGAGAGGAUGAUCAGCCACACUGGAACUGAGAAACGGUCCAGACUCCUACGGGAGGCAGCAGUAGGAAAUAUUGCGCAAUGGGGGAAACCCUGACGCAGCGACGCCGCGUGAGUGAUGAAGGCCUUCGGGUCGUAAAGCUCUGUCGUAUGGGAAUAAUAAACUGAAUGUACCAUACAAGAAAGGAUCGGCUAACUUCGUGCCAGCCGCCGCGGUAA